CACGUAGGGGGCAAGCGUUGUCCGGAUUUAUUGGGCGUAAAGAGCUCGUAGGCGGUUCGGUAAGUCGGGUGUGAAACCUCCAGGCUCAACCUGGAGACGCCACCUGAUACUGCUGUGACUAGAGUCCGGUAGGGGAGCGUGGAAUUCCUGGUGUAGCGGUGAAAUGCGCAGAUAUCAGGAGGAACACCAGCGGCGAAGGCGGCGCUCUGGGCCGGAACUGACGCUGAGGAGCGAAAGCGUGGGGAGCAAACAGG
rnacentral:rRNA from 1 species